UUUUCAAUUCUUAUUUGUAUAUGUACAACAGUUCAUGUCAUUUCUGAUGAAUAUCAAUUAGAGAAACAAACAACUAUCAAGGCAGUGAGGCUAAGGUAUGUAUAAAUUUUAUCGUUUUUCAAAUUAAAUUCAUUUGGCAACUUAUACUACAUGUACUACUAGUAUUCAUAUGAAUUUGAAAUGGAUAUGGGGUACUGGAUAUAAAUGUCUUCGGAAAAGAUUUGUUUCUACAUCAGCUGUGAAUUUUAAUAAAUUAUGCUCGAGACCAAAAUAUCUAAAAGUUAAAACCUACCAACAAAAAUAGUUAAAACAAGAAAAUUAACGAUCAGUAGCCGUUCCAGGAUAAUGGUCAAGAUAAAUACUAAAUGAAACACUCUGUUUAUGCAGGCGAAAAGAUGAUAUAGGUAUUCUGUCUAUUAUUGAGGACAUUAUCAUGAUUAUUUUUUCAUGAAUAUUACAAAACGCAAAUGUUCGUUUGAUAUAAAUAUUGUGCACUGGUCACUCCAUCAAUGAAGCAUAUAUAGCAGCAUCGCUUUUGAUGGUUAAUUAGGUACAAUGUAUUCAAUGAACAUUGUGAAAUGGUUCAUGAUUGAGGAAUAUCUUCAUAAAGUUUGUAUAAAAGCAAAUGUUUAAGAGGCCAAAAAAAAAAAAACCACAUGAUAAGUUUGAGUUAUUAAAUACUGUCUUUCAAAUAUAUACUUUUUUUUCUAUUUACAGAUGAAGAUAAUAUUUGAAUUGUGUAUUAUGAUUGCUUUGUUCGCCAUGAUAAGAAGUGGGAUUAUUCUUUGUCGUGCUGGAUGUGGUGACGACUAUGCAUUCUGCUGUGAUUUUCAUUGCAAAGGCUUUUUUGAUUCACACGACCUUAAAUGCAGAGGAGACAAAACUGAUCAUCCAUGCAUUAUGGAUUGUCAAGAUGUAUUUAGGAAUUGUUCUGAAUCCUGUGGAUCUGUCGUGCUUGGAAAAUAACAAUGCCAAAUUGUUCUAGAAAAAUGACACAUCUAAUGCUUCUUGUGAUUACAAUGUGGAGCAUAAUAUGUAUCUUACUUGUAAAUAAAAUUUCAAA
rnacentral:lncRNA from 1 species